ACCCCGAUCCCAAGCACCAUGGAGCCGACGAUUUGGAUCAAGACCUACAUCCCAAGCACCAAGGUGCCUGGUUGAUAUGGAUCGCGACCCCGAUCUGGAGCUCCAGGGCGCCGAGGAUUUCGAUCACGAUCCCGAUCUGAAGCACCGAGUAGCCGAGGAUAUGGAUCAAGACCCCGGUCCGAAGCGACAAGGAGGCAAGGAUUUGGAUCACCACUCCGAUCAAAGGCACCAAGGCGUCGAGGGAUUGGAUCGAGAUCCCGAUCCCAAUCAUGAAGUUGGCUAUGUAAUUUCCUGUUUUCCACACCGUUCAGGGCAUUUUGGUGGUCGUAUCGGCUUUUAGUUGCUUGCUUGGUGUUAGUGCCAAGGGAGUGGUUGGAAGCUAGGUCGUCCUCUGGAAUGCUUGUUGUAAAGGUGUAUGAGUUGUGUUUGGCUUGUUACGGGUGUUUGUUGGCUGCUUGUGCAGAAACUUUCAUGCGUCCAAGCCUCUUCAGUUGUGCUACAAGGCCUUGUUUGUCUUGUGCAUACGGUGGGUUUCCUGUGUUGCAUACCUAAUCAAGGGCAUCGUAUGGCUUGAUCGAAGUAAAUAUUCGUAAUGCGCCGCUUGCGGCGUUGCACGAACCUCGAAGUGGUCUCUGUGGCCCAUGUUGUCUUUGCUCACGUAUGGAUGGCAUGGCCCUCGGAGCGUCGCUUGGUCUCUUGGAUACGGAACCUGAUGAUGAGGGCGGUAGGGUCUUGGAUGAUUCUGCCUUCGC
rnacentral:misc_RNA from 1 species